rnacentral:rRNA from 1 species
UACGGAGGGUGCGAGCGUUGUCCGGAAUCACUGGGCGUAAAGGGCGCGUAGGCGGCGCGGAUAGUCGGCGGUGAAAGCCCGGAGCUCAACUCCGGGUCGGCCGUCGAUACUUCCGGGCUUGAGCACUGUAGAGGCAGAUGGAAUUCCGGGUGUAGCGGUGGAAUGCGUAGAGAUCCGGAAGAACACCGGUGGCGAAGGCGGUCUGCUGGGCAGUUGCUGACGCUGAUGCGCGACAGCGUGGGGAGCAAACCGG